GAUGAACGCUAGCUACAGGCUUAACACAUGCAAGUCGAGGGGCAGCAUGAAGUUUGCUUGCAAACUUUGAUGGCGACCGGCGCACGGGUGAGUAACGCGUGGGCAACCUGCCGUAUGCAGGGGGACAACAGUUGGAAACGGCUGCUAAUACCGCAUAAGCGCACAGCACCGCAUGGUGCAGUGUGAAAAGAUUUAUCGGCAUACGAUGGGCCCGCGUUGGAUUAGGUAGUUGGCGGAGUAACGGCCCACCAAGCCUACGAUCCAUAGCCGACCUGAGAGGGUGAUCGGCCACAUUGGGACUGAGACACGGCCCAAACUCC
rnacentral:rRNA from 1 species